rnacentral:rRNA from 1 species
UGGUGGAGUGAUUUGUCUGGUUAAUUCCGUUAACGAACGAGACGACCGCCUGCUAAAUAGUUACGCUAACGCUUGCGUUGGCGGGCAACUUCUUAGAGGGACUCCUGGUGACUAAUCAGGGGAAGGCUGGUCGCAAUAACA